rnacentral:tRNA from 1 species
CCUCGCCUUGGUGAGCCCGGUGUUCGCUCCCGGUUCCAAGCCGGGAGACACACGGCCUGCCCUCGGGCCGGAGGGGUUCAGCGCCCUGGCCGCGAC